UUUCCGUAGGUGAACCUGCGGAAGGAUCAUUCAUAAUAAGUGUUUUAUGGCACUUUUUUAAAUCCAUAUCCACCUUGUGUGCAAUGUCAGGGUUGAUCUUUCUCUCGAGAGGAUCAACCCCAAACAUCAACUAUAUCUCAACUCUUUGUCUGAGAAAUAUUAUGAAUAAAACAAUUCAAAAUACAACUUUCAACAACGGAUCUCUUGGCUCUC
rnacentral:misc_RNA from 1 species